rnacentral:rRNA from 1 species
GAUGAACGCUAGCUACAGGCUUAACACAUGCAAGUCGAGGGGUAACGAGAGGGAAGCUUGCUUUCCUUGUCGACGACCGGCGCACGGGUGAGUAACGCGUAUCCAACCUGCCCCCAACUAGGGAAUAACCUUGCGAAAGUAAGACUAAUACCCUAUAAUUUCCUCAGAUGUCAUCUGACGAGGAAUAAAGAUUUAUCGGUUGUGGUUGGGGAUGCGUCUGAUUAGCUUGUUGGCGGGGUAACGGCCCACCAAGGCAACGGUCAGUAGGGGUUCUGAGAGGAAGGUCCCCCACAUUGGAACUGAGACACGGUCCAAACUCCUACGGGAGGCAGCAGUGAGGAAUAUUGGUCAAUGGGCGGAAGCCUGAACCAGCCAAGUAGCGUGCAGGAUGACGGCCCUAUGGGUUGUAAACUGCUUUUAUACAGGAAUAAAGUUAGCCACGUGUGGUUAUUUGUAGGUACUGUAUGAAUAAGGACCGGCUAAUUCCGUGCCAGCCGCCGCCGUAA